GAAAUGCGAUACGUAAUGUGAAUUGCAGACCGUGAAUCAUCUAAUCUUUGAACGCAUAUUGCGCUCCCUGGUAUUCCGGGGAGCAUGCCUGUUUGAGAAUCGAUAGACCUCAUCACCCCUUUGGGACUCAUCAUUGAUGAUAUCAUUGGAGUGGAUUUGGGCUCUUGUAGUCAAUACAAAGCCUUGAAGCUAGCGUUGACCUUGGCAGUUAUUGUUAUUAGGAACGUGUUUAUUUGAAUUUAUUCAUUACUUGCGGUUCUUUUAACGUCGGUGACUAUCAAGGGCGAUUCAAACAAACCUUAAUUGGACCAUACACUUUACCGUGUUAACUUGGUCUCAAAUCAGGCAAGAGUACCCGCUGAACUUAA
rnacentral:misc_RNA from 1 species